rnacentral:rRNA from 1 species
UACAGAGGGGGGCAAGCGUUGUUCGGAAUUACUGGGCGUAAAGGGCGCGUAGGCGGCCUUCUAAGUCGAACGUGAAAUCCCCGGGCUCAACCCGGGAACUGCGUCCGAUACUGGGAGGCUUGAAUCCGGGAGAGGGAUGUGGAAUUCCAGGUGUAGCGGUGAAAUGCGUAGAUAUCUGGAGGAACACCGGUGGCGAAGGCGGCAUCCUGGACCGGUAUUGACGCGUGAGGCGCGAAAGCCAGGGGAGCAAAGCGG